rnacentral:rRNA from 14 species
UAAGGUCCGUAGUGAAAAGGGAAACAGCCCUGACCGCCAGUUAAGGUCCCUAAGUAAUGGCUAAGUGGGAAAGGAUGUGGGAGUGCAGUGACAAUCAGGAGGUUGGCUUAGAAGCAGCCACCCUUUAAAGAGUGCGUAAUAGCUCACUGAUCGAGCGAUCCUGCGCCGAAAAUGUAUGGAACUAAGUUUAACGCCGAAGCCACGGGAUUAUAGCAAUAUAAUCGGUAGAGGAGCGUUCCCGGAGGGGUGAAGGUGUACCGUGAGGAGCACUGGACAUCCGGGAAGUGAGAAUGCAGGCAUGAGUAGCGCUAAUGCCGGUGAGAUUCCGGCACACCGUAAGCCCAAGGGUUCCGUCGGAAGGUAACUCCGCGACGGGUUAGUCGGCCCCUAAGAUGAGGCAGAAAUGCGUAGUCGAUGGGAAACGGGUUA